GGGUGUGAUCAUAUCAGCAUUAAUGCUCCAGAUCUCAUUAGAACUCUAUAGUUAAGCGUGUUUUGGCUAGAGUAUACUGGGAUGGGUGAUCUCCUAGGAAGUCCUAGUGUUGCACCCC
rnacentral:rRNA from 1 species